GUGUUAAAACUUAGAUGAGAUGUUGGUGUUUUAUGGCUCACGAAUUCGCAAUAACGGAUACGUAUAGCAGUUCGUGUUAAUGACAUUAAUCCAAACUAAUUGAUGACGUGAUAACAUGGGCGUCGAAUCCAAUAUUAAUCAUGCUGAGGUUUUCUCGACGGGGUAAUGUGUAUAAAUGCAGUUAUAAAAUUAAAAGGGACAAGAUAGUCGACGUGACCCUCAUGUUUCCAUGGCAAUCAGUCAAUUACAUGUUACGCUUAUGAUCGCACCUGCGGUCAUUCGCGCAGUAUCCAUUAUUUUAAGCGGCAUGAAACACUUAAGUUAACUCCUUUGUACGAAAAUAUCAUGUCGUAGCCCUUCAAAAUUAGAAAAGUGAGGAUGAUCUUGUCAAUGCUGAGAUUUUCAUGCAUCAACAGCCACUACAUCUGGAUCAGAUUGAACAAGAAACAGACAGCAAGGGUUGUCAGAUCAGUAACAGAAUGACACACAAACACAAGAAACUUCACAGGCAGAUCAACAUGCAAUUUGAAGACGUGUGAUAAAAUACAGAGAGGUGAAGUAGUGUGUCUUUCCAGAUCCCCAAAUCAUUCCCCCUUAAAAGAUGAGCCUGAAGAGGAGAUUUGGGAAGAUGCUGUUUCGUAAGUCGCUUUGCCAGAUCACCUGUGGUCGGGAUGUCUGCUAACAAGAUGCCUUGCUGGUCUGAGUGAGUUUAAAGUCUUAGACAGACAGUCCAGAAGUUCUGAAGUCCAUCUUCGAUUUCAUUGAUGCUGUCAUCGUAUUAAGUACAGCAUGAGCCAGAAUGAUGGGUGGUGGUGGCCAUAAGAAGACUGUCAACUAAACCAACAACAAAAUUCAUAUUUGCAGUUUUUCUUGAAUAAAGUUUUUCUAUUCAGAUUAAUAAAAUGACUUUUAAACAUGAUUUUGUUUCAUAUUUUAUGAUUUUAUUCUAUAUUUAGAAAAUUCCACUUCUGCACUACUAACUGGAAACCUAACUGUUUGAAAGAAUGUGUUUUUAUCCAUAAAAAAAUAUUUUUAACAGCUGCUUUCAUGUUUAUUUGGAAAGGGUAGGCACCUGCCAUCUUAUUUGUCCACAUUUAAACUUUACCUUCCUUAAGUGUUUAGUUUUAUGAAUGGGGUUGUACUGUAAGUUAUGCGUAGCAAG